GACGAACGCUGGCGGCGUGCUUAACACAUGCAAGUCGAACGAUGAACCGGUUUCGGCCGGGGAUUAGUGGCGAACGGGUGAGUAACACGUGGGCAAUCUGCCCUGCACUCUGGGAUAAGCCCGGGAAACUGGGUCUAAUACCGGAUACGACACUCCGAGGCAUCUUGGGGUGUGGAAAGUUCCGGCGGUGCAGGAUGAGCCCGCGGCCUAUCAGCUUGUUGGUGGGGUAAUGGCCUACCAAGGCGACGACGGGUAGCCGGCCUGAGAGGGUGACCGGCCACACUGGGACUGGGACACGGCCCAGACUCCUACGGGAGGCAGCAGUGGGGAAUAUUGCACAAUGGGCGAAAGCCUGAUGCAGCGACGUCGCGUGAGGGAUGACGGCCUUCGGGUUGUAAACCUCUUUCAGCAGGGAAGAAGCGAAAGUGACGGUACCUGCAGAAGAAGCACCGGCUAACUACGUG
rnacentral:rRNA from 1 species